AUUUUCUUCUAUGGCUGCGUCUCCUUCAUUACAGGGUGUAGGUCUCUGAUUGUCCACACAAUGACAGUGUCCUUUUCUCUUAGUGGUCUGUUCCCUUGCAUUCGUUCUGUGAGAGUGGACGUCUGAGGAGGCUAAUCAACUGUGUCGACGCUCCCAGGUCUGGGUAGGAGGGCCGUGUAGACAACCGAUGACUGGAAGAGAAUAACCGGUUGGUUCUUCUUGAAUUCACCUUCUUAGAUGCAGUAAUCAACCGUAGCCUUGAUUGUUAAGAGGUUCCUCAAUCCUCUUCCUCGUGUUACGUUUUGGGAUCACGACUAUCCAUAGACUUUGGCUGCAGCAUGCGGUCAACUUCGUCUGCUCCUCUGUCAGAAACAACUUGAAGCACUCUGCCUCAGAUGGAAAUGGCAAGGGGCGUUGCACUCCAGACUGGGACUCAUCAAAGCAAACAGCAGGGCCAGGAGGGGUGAAAUGGCUAGCAGCCUGCCAGCUAGCACAGAACUCCUGUACUUCAUCCACUGUCGGUCUGCCUCCAUCACCACCAGCAUCUUCAAAGGGAACUGGGACUUUGUCAGUGGACAAGGGAUCCUCAGAUUCAGGGUUCUCAAUGGCUGGGGGUCAGCUCCUCACUGUCACUUUUAGAAUCUGAUUCCUGACUUUCAGACUUAUUGUCAGAAUUUUUUUAAAUCUCCAGAAUUUCUGCAUUUGUGAGUUGUCUUCUUUUGAAAGACAUUGCUAAUGCUACAGCUUAGCUCACUAGCUACAUACAUAAACA
rnacentral:lncRNA from 1 species